rnacentral:rRNA from 1 species
GAUGAACGCUGGCGGCGUGCCUAAUACAUGCAAGUCGAGCGAGCGGACGAGAAGCUUGCUUCUCUGAUGUUAGCGGCGGACGGGUGAGUAACACGUGGAUAACCUACCUAUAAGACUGGGAUAACUUCGGGAAACCGGAGCUAAUACCGGAUAAUAUUUUGAACCGCAUGGUUCAAAAGUGAAAGACGGUCUUGCUGUCACUUAUAGAUGGAUCUGCGCUGCAUUAGCUAGUUGGUAAGGUAACGGCUUACCAAGGCAACGAUGCAUAGCCGACCUGAGAGGGUGAUCGGCCACACUGGAACUGAGACACGGUCCAGACUCCUACGGGAGGCAGCAGUAGGGAAUCUUCCGCAAUGGGCGAAAGCCUGACGGAGCAACGCCGCGUGAGUGAUGAAGGUCUUCGGAUCGUAAAACUCUGUUAUUAGGGAAGAACAUAUGUGUAAGUAACUGUGCACAUCUUGACGGUACCUAAUCAGAAAGCCACGGCUAACUACGUG